rnacentral:rRNA from 1 species
GACGAACGCUGGCGGCGUGCUUAAUACAUGCAAGUCGAACGGAAAGGCCAGAAGCUUGCUGGUCGCUCGUGAGCCGAACAGGUGAGUGAAACGCGUGGAACACGUACCUGACUGAGGGAUAACACCAGGAGAAUGGGGCGCUUACCGGGUAUAAGAUCUUGCUGCACGGGGGGGGAUGGUAAGAGUCGGCGGUUGGGGAUGGACUCGCAGCUUAUCGGCUGGAUGGGGUGGUAGUGGCGGACAAAGGCUUUGACGGGUAGCCGGCAUGAGAGGGUGAACGGCCACAUUGGGACUGAGAGACGGCCCAGACUCCUACCGGACGCAGCAGUGGGGAAUAUUGCGGAAUGGGCGGAAGCCAGAUGCAGCAACGCCGCGUGCGGGAUGACGGCUUUCGAGGUGUAAACCGAUUUCGCCUGUGCUGAGCCGUGAGUGACGGUAAUGGGUAAAGAAGCAACGGCUAACUACGUG